AUGGACGUGUACAACUUCAACCUCGGCAUCGAGCAGUACACUGUGGGCUCGAUCAUCCUCUUCGACGUAGGAGACGGUGAGCCGAGCAGCUACAGUACAAUCCAGAUCGGCUGGGAGGUUUCACCCAAGAUGCAUGGCGAUUCGCGCACUCGUUUAGCUGGUCUAUGGACGAAUGAUGGGUUACAAGAAACUGGUUGCCCCAAUGCCCAGUGCGGUUUUCGGCCGGCAGAGGGUGCACCCAUGACGCUCGGAGGUGUAAUUGAGACAGUUUCCCAACCCAAGGGACUCAAACAAACCAUCACUAUUAUAAUUUUUAAGGACGGCGUAAUGGGAGACUGGCUGGUGUAUUACGGGUUCAAUCAGGAUGACCCUGCAUUUAUUGGGUCUUUCCCCAAGUCGUUAUUUACCGGAGGGAUGGCGAACAGAGCGCCAUCUAUCCGUUUUGGUGGAUACGUGCACACCCACACGACGAAUUUAGUUCCGAUGGGCAGUGGCUACCUUCCCACGGGUGAUGCGAUGGCGUCCGCGUUCAUGAGCAAUAUCCAAAUCCUCGAUCAGAAUGGCCAGGCCUCGCCGUUGACGCAAGACUCACCCACUGUCAUUACUGACUCGAAUAUCUACCGAGCCACUCCCGUUGUCAAUGGGCGAUUCUUCUAUGGGGGGUCGUUUCAGUCC
rnacentral:rRNA from 1 species